GACGAACGCUGGCGGCGUGCUUAACACAUGCAAGUCGAACGGAAAGGCCCUGCUUUUGUGCGGUGCUCGAGUGGCGAACGGGUGUGUAACACGUGAGUAACCUGCCCUUGACUUUGGGAUAACUUCAGGAAAAUGGGGCUAUUAUCGGGUAGGAGCUCCUGCUGCAUAGUGGUGGUUGGAAAGUUUCGGCGGUUGGGGAUGGUCUCGCGGCUUAUGAGCUUGUUGGGCGGGUAGUGGCUUACCAAGGCUUUGACGGGUAGCCGGCCUGGGAGGGUGACCGGCCUCAUUGGGACUGAGAUACGGACCAGACGCCUACGGGAGGCAGCAGGGGGGAAUAUUGCACAGUGGGCGGACGCCUGAUGCAGCAACGCCGCGUGCGGGAUGACGGCCUUCGGGUUGUAAACCGCUUUCGCCUGUGACGAAGCGUGAGUGACGGUAAUGGGUAAAGAAGCACCGGCUAACUACGUG
rnacentral:rRNA from 1 species